UUGUGUUGAUUUUACCUUAAACAAGGGCGUGUGAAAAGAAUGUUUGUGAUUAGAUUGCACUAAAGUCUAGGGGCUGAGAUGAAUAUUCUAGACAACAAUUCAAGCGUCUUGCAUCCAAAAUAAUCAGAGUGAGAAUAUGAAUGCUUCAUUUCCACUUAUUUUCCACCACUUAAGGCAUGUGGCGUACAAUACUAAUUGUAGUUAUUAAGUGUUUUGAAUUUGAUUAUAAAAAAGUUAUUUAACAUUGAAUCAAGGGUUUG
rnacentral:lncRNA from 1 species